GAGUGAUUAGCUCAGCUGGGAGAGCACCUCCCUUACAAGGAGGGGGUCGGCGGUUCGAUCCCGUCAUCACCCACCA
rnacentral:tRNA from 2 species